rnacentral:rRNA from 1 species
ACGUAGGUCACAAGCGUUGUCCGGAAUUACUGGGUGUAAAGGGAGCGCAGGCGGGAAGAUAAGUUGGAAGUGAAAUCCAUGGGCUCAACCCAUGAACUGCUUUCAAAACUGUUUUUCUUGAGUAGUGCAGAGGUAGGCGGAAUUCCCGGUGUAGCGGUGGAAUGCGUAGAUAUCGGGAGGAACACCAGUGGCGAAGGCGGCCUACUGGGCACCAACUGACGCUGAGGCUCGAAAGUGUGGGUAGCAAACAG